CGAGCGGACCUCUUCGGAGGUCAGCGGCGGACGGGUGAGUAACACGUGGGCAACCUGCCUGUAAGACUGGGAUAACUCCGGGAAACCGGAGCUAAUACCGGAUACUAUGUCAAACCGCAUGGUUUGACAUUCAAAGACGGUUUCGGCUGUCACUUACAGAUGGGCCCGCGGCGCAUUAGCUAGUUGGUGAGGUAAUGGCUCACCAAGGCGACGAUGCGUAGCCGACCUGAGAGGGUGAUCGGCCACACUGGGACUGAGACACGGCCCAGACUCCUACGGGAGGCAGCAGUAGGGAAUCUUCCGCAAUGGACGAAAGUCUGACGGAGCAACGCCGCGUGAGUGAUGAAGGUUUUCGGAUCGUAAAACUCUGUUGUCAGGGAAGAACAAGUGCCGGAGUAACUGCCGGCGCCUUGACGGUACCUGACCAGAAAGCCACGGCUAACUACGUGCCAGCAGCCGCGGUAAUACGUAGGUGGCAAGCGUUGUCCGGAAUUAUUGGGCGUAAAGCGCGCGCAGGCGGGAGGG
rnacentral:rRNA from 2 species